UGAGCCACCAUGGGAGCUCCCUAGGCCACGGUUUUAAAUGUUCACCUCUGCCAAAUCUGAGUCUGGUUUUCACGGGUCUUCUGUCUCUUGAAACCGCUUUGACUUUUCGUAUGCCUUGUAAAUUGUUGUUGAAAGCCAGACAAGAUGCCCUGGCUAAAAGGAAUUGCUGUAAAUAGGCCUUCGGUGUUGUGACCUUGAUGUUUGGGGGGAAGGGGGCUUUCUACAGCCCUCUGCGUAGGUCUCAGUGUUUUCCUGAUCCUGUUUCCCAGGCUGUAAACUUCCCAAGUGUUUCUGUUUUUUCUUCCCAUUAGCUGGGACGGGAUCAUUAGAGGGGGCUGGGGUUGGGGAGUCACUCUCUCCCAGGUGGAUUGGCUCUGAUAAAAUCCUUUCUGCUGAGGGCAGACCUUAUUAAGAACCACAGAAUGGUCUGGGUGAAUUUCAGAAUGGUUGCUUCCCCCCUCCUCCGGACAGACGUGGAGGAAGAUGCCUCUCUGAUGGUCCCUGUAAGAACCUGGUGGAGCUCCUAGAGGUUCUAACUCACCAGGAACAACCACUCCCCCCGAAGGCCGGGCCCCCUGGAGUUUUGACCUCUCAGGUUUGUUCACCCUGAGCCUCUAGCAAUUCAGUAAUUACUGUUUUGCCCUCUUGCCUGAUGGUGUCCUGGGGGCGGCUGCCUGCACGUGUUUCUGCUCCGCAGGUGUGAUCACAGGCCUGGCCCAGGUGGUUGCUGACGUUCCCUCCUCAGCCAGGCUCCCUGCUCUGCAAUUUGUUUUCUUCGUGCAAAUUAAAAUGCUGCAUUGCCCCGAUAAGCAUUCCAGGAGAACCGAAGAGGAUGAAAAACAAGAGCGCCUCACCCCUUCCCAUCCUGCUCCACCCCACCCCACUCCACUCCCACGACCUGGAGGCGACCCCUUUCAACAGUGACUGUUUUUAUUUCUUCUGGAAGUUAUUGCAAGAUCUUAGCUCCAGAGUUCCUUCGGGGCGCACACAGCAGGUUAAGAAUCCAGCACUGUCACGGCUGCUGCUCUGGUUGCUGCUGUGGCACAGGUUCAAUCCUUUGGGGGAGGGGGGACCUUCACAUGCCACGGGCACAGACUCCCCCCCCAAACAAACAAACAAACCAACAAACCAGCUCCAACGUCCCUACUUGAUUGCUUUAUAUAUCAACUUUACUGAA